CCAUCACGUUAUGGUGGGCACUCUGCAAAGACUGCCGGUGAUAAACCGGAGGAAGGUGGGGAUGACGUCAAGUCAGCAUGGCCUUUAUGUCUGGGGCUACACACGUGCUACAAUGGCCGGUACAAACCGUCGCAAAACCGUAAGGUCGAGCUAAUCGGACAAAGCCGGUCUCAGUUCGGAUUGU
rnacentral:rRNA from 1 species